AUGAACGCUAGCGACAGGCUUAACACAUGCAAGUCGAGGGGCAGCACAGGUAGCAAUACCGGGUGGCGACCGGCGCACGGGUGAGUAACGCGUAUGCAACUUACCUAUCAGAGGGGGAUAACCCGGCGAAAGUCGGACUAAUACCGCAUGAAGCAGGGGCCCCGCAUGGGGAUAUUUGCUAAAGAUUCAUCGCUGAUAGAUAGGCAUGCGUUCCAUUAGGCAGUUGGCGGGGUAACGGCCCACCAAACCGACGAUGGAUAGGGGUUCUGAGAGGAAGGUCCCCCACAUUGGUACUGAGACACGGACCAAACUCCUACGGGAGGCAGCAGUGAGGAAUAUUGGUCAAUGGGCGUAAGCCUGAACCAGCCAAGUCGCGUGAGGGAUGAAGGUUCUAUGGAUCGUAAACCUCUUUUAUAAGGGAAUAAAGUGCGGGACGUGUCCCGUUUUGUAUGUACCUUAUGAAUAAGGAUCGGCUAACUCCGUGCCAGCAGCCGCGGUAAUACGGAGGAUCCGAGCGUUAUCCGGAUUUAUUGGGUUUAAAGGGUGCGUAGGCGGCCUUUUAAGUCAGCGGUGAAAGUCUGUGGCUCAACCAUAGAAUUGCCGUUGAAACUGGGAGGCUUGAGUAUGUUUGAGGCAGGCGGAAUGCGUGGUGUAGCGGUGAAAUGCUUAGAUAUCACGCAGAACCCCGAUUGCGAAGGCAGCCUGCCAAGCCAUGACUGACGCUGAUGCACGAAAGCGUGGGGAUCAAACAGGAUUAGAUACCCUGGUAGUCCACGCAGUAAACGAUGAUCACUAGCUGUUUGCGAUACACUGUAAGCGGCACAGCGAAAGCGUUAAGUGAUCCACCUGGGGAGUACGCCGGCAACGGUGAAACUCAAAGGAAUUGACGGGGGCCCGCACAAGCGGAGGAACAUGUGGUUUAAUUCGAUGAUACGCGAGGAACCUUACCCGGGUUUGAACGCAUUCGGACCGAGGUGGAAACACCUCUUCUAGCAAUAGCCGUUUGCGAGGUGCUGCAUGGUUGUCGUCAGCUCGUGCCGUGAGGUGUCGGCUUAAGUGCCAUAACGAGCGCAACCCUUGCCACUAGUUACUAACAGGUUAGGCUGAGGACUCUGGUGGGACUGCCAGCGUAAGCUGCGAGGAAGGCGGGGAUGACGUCAAAUCAGCACGGCCCUUACAUCCGGGGCGACACACGUGUUACAAUGGCGUGGACAAAGGGAUGCCACCUGGCGACAGGGAGCGAAUCCCCAAACCACGUCUCAGUUCGGAUCGGAGUCUGCAACCCGACUCCGUGAAGCUGGAUUCGCUAGUAAUCGCGCAUCAGCCAUGGCGCGGUGAAUACGUUCCCGGGCCUUGUACACACCGCCCGUCAAGCCAUGGGAGCCGGGGGUACCUGAAGUCCGUAACCGAGAGGAUCGGCCUAGGGUAAAACUGGUGACUGGGGCU
rnacentral:rRNA from 1 species